rnacentral:lncRNA from 1 species
UCAUAAGUUUGGCAAUAGAUCUUUGGAUGAAAUUUUUUAUAUUUGUGAGUAUAUUUGUGAUUGAUAAAUAUUAUAAAUUUGAGUUUGAUGGAAUGGUUAGAUUGAAAGGCAUGACGAUUUUUGUGGGUUAUGAUCUUAGAAUUUAGGAUUUUGAGAACUAAUGAGGUUUUCUUAGAUAUCUAUCAAUCCAUUGAUUAGAUUGAAGAAUUUUUUUUUAUAGAAGUAGUCAAUUUGAUUUCUAACAAGUAUGUAAAUUUUAGAAGCAAAAUAACAAUUCAAUCAGAAGUAAUUGACUCUAGGAGAUUGGCAUCAAAGUCAAAGAAGGAGGCUGGCUAAUAUCCAAGUAUAUUUUUGAGGUUAUUGUCUAUUUGGUAAUUUUGAUCCUUUUCAAUUUUUUGUGCUUAUUUUCAACUUAAUUAUCAAGAAUUGUGCAAAUUUUGAGUUAAAAUCAAUGAUUCAUUCAUUAGUUAUUGAGGUCUAAAUGUACUAUAAGAAUUACUAAGGUUUGGUUAGGAUUUGGUUAGGAUUUGGUUAGUGUUAAAGAUUUGAUUUAAGGUUUUAUUUGAUUAGAAUUUAGCUAAGAUUUAUUUAAAAUUUAUUUAAGAUUUGAUUAGGAUUUGAUUAGGAUUUGAUUAGGAUUUUUCUAAGAUUUGUUUAGGAUUUAAUUUGGACUUAUUUAGGAUUUGUUUAGGAUUUGGUUAAGAUUUGAUUAAGAUUUAAUUAAUAUUUAUUUAGGAUUUAUCUAAGAUUUGUUUAGGAUUUGAUUAGAGCUUAUUUAGGAUUUGACUAGGAUUUAUUUAAGAUUUGAUUAGGAUUUAUUUGGAGUUUAAUUAAGAUUUAUCUAGGAUUUUAUUAAGGCCAUUUAGGAUUUGAAUAAGGUUUGAUUAAAUUUUGACUAGGAUUUGACUAAGAUUUAAUUAAGAUCUAUAUAUAUAUU